UACGAAGGGGGCUAGCGUUGUUCGGAAUUACUGGGCGUAAAGCGUGCGCAGGCGGCUUUCCAAGUCAGUGGUGAAAGCCCGGAGCUCAACUCCCGGAAAUGCCAUUGAAACUGUGAAGCUUGAGAACGAGAGAGGUGAGUGGAAUUCCCAGUGUAGAGGUGAAAUUCGUAGAUAUUGGGAAGAACACCAGUGGCGAAGGCGGCUCACUGGCUCGUAACUGACGCUCAUGCACGACAGCGUGGGGAUCAAACAGG
rnacentral:rRNA from 1 species